rnacentral:tRNA from 1 species
GCCUCGAUGGUGGAAUUGGUUUACACAUCGCACUUAAAAUGCGCCGGCCCUAGGCCUUGCGAGUUCGAGUCUCGCUCGAGGCACCA